rnacentral:rRNA from 1 species
GAUGAACGCUAGCUACAGGCUUAACACAUGCAAGUCGAGGGGCAGCAUGGUCUUAGCUUGCUAAGGCCGAUGGCGACCGGCGCACGGGUGAGUAACACGUAUCCAACCUGCCGUCUACUCUUGGACAGCCUUCUGAAAGGAAGAUUAAUACAAGAUGGCAUCAUGAGUCCGCAUGUUCACAUGAUUAAAGGUAUUCCGGUAGACGAUGGGGAUGCGUUCCAUUAGAUAGUAGGCGGGGUAACGGCCCACCUAGUCUUCGAUGGAUAGGGGUUCUGAGAGGAAGGUCCCCCACAUUGGAACUGAGACACGGUCCAAACUCCUACGGGAGGCAGCAGUGAGGAAUAUUGGUCAAUGGGCGAGAGCCUGAACCAGCCAAGUAGCGUGAAGGAUGACUGCCCUAUGGGUUGUAAACUUCUUUUAUAAAGGAAUAAAGUCGGGUAUGGAUACCCGUUUGCAUGUACUUUAUGAAUAAGGAUCGGCUAACUCCGUGCCAGCAGCCGCGGUAAUACGGAGGAUCCGAGCGUUAUCCGGAUUUAUUGGGUUUAAAGGGAGCGUAGAUGGAUGUUUAAGUCAGUUGUGAAAGUUUGCGGCUCAACCGUAAAAUUGCAGUUGAUACUGGAUAUCUUGAGUGCAGUUGAGGCAGGCGGAAUUCGUGGUGUAGCGGUGAAAUGCUUAGAUAUCACGAAGAACUCCGAUUGCGAAGGCAGCCUGCUAAGCUGCAACUGACAUUGAGGCUCGAAAGUGUGGGUAUCAAACAGGAUUAGAUACCCUGGUAGUCCACACGGUAAACGAUGAAUACUCGCUGUUUGCGAUAUACUGCAAGCGGCCAAGCGAAAGCGUUAAGUAUUCCACCUGGGGAGUACGCCGGCAACGGUGAAACUCAAAGGAAUUGACGGGGGCCCGCACAAGCGGAGGAACAUGUGGUUUAAUUCGAUGAUACGCGAGGAACCUUACCCGGGCUUAAAUUGCAGAUGAAUUACGGUGAAAGCCGUAAGCCGCAAGGCAUCUGUGAAGGUGCUGCAUGGUUGUCGUCAGCUCGUGCCGUGAGGUGUCGGCUUAAGUGCCAUAACGAGCGCGACCCUUGUUGUCAGUUACUAACAGGUUCCGCUGAGGACUCUGACAAGACUGCCAUCGUAAGAUGUGAGGAAGGUGGGGAUGACGUCAAAUCAGCACGGCCCUUACGUCCGGGGCUACACACGUGUUACAAUGGGGGGUACAGAGGGCCGCUACCACGCGAGUGGAUGCCAAUCCCCAAAACCUCUCUCAGUUCGGACUGGAGUCUGCAAACCCGACUCCACGAAAGCUGGAUUCGCUAGUAAUCGCGCAUCAGCCACGGCGCGGUGAAUACGUUCCCGGGCCCU